rnacentral:rRNA from 1 species
UACGUAGGGAGCAAGCGUUAUCCGGAUUUAUUGGGUGUAAAGGGUGCGUAGACGGGAUAACAAGUUAGUUGUGAAAACCCUCGGCUCAACUGAGGAACUGCAACUAAAACUAUUAUUCUUGAGUGCAGGAGGGGAAAGUGGAAUUCCUAGUGUAGCGGUGAAAUGCAUAGAUAUUAGGAAGAACACCAGUGGCGAAGGCGACUUUCUGGACUGUAACUGACGUUGAGGCACGAAAGUGUGGGGAGCAAACAGG